rnacentral:tRNA from 1 species
GCGGGAUUAGUAUAGAGGUAAUACAUCAGCUUCCCAAGUUGAAAUCGUGGGUCCGAUUCCCAUAUCCCGCU